GUUUUGAUUUUAAACAGAAAGGAAAUCAGAGCAUGGACAUGAAUUCAAAGAAAGUAUUCAAGCAUUGAUAGAACGAUUCGAAGUAAAACAAAAAGAAUUAAUGGAACAACGACCACAACACGGGAUGAGACUUUUAAAGACGGUACACAAAGUGCGGGCUCCUUCUGAGACGUCGACAGUGUUGUUGGGYCGGGAAAGAUUGACUUCUGGCCCUUCUGAGACAAAAUCGAAGGAAAAAAUGACAACAGGUUAGUAGAAUAAUAUUUUAAAAAAUAUAUAAGCAAACGGGCUACCUAAGAAUGCGCAUCACCCAAACACUGUCUGAUUAUAGCACAUAUAAUCCGAGCAGAAUUGUAGUAUAAAUUAGAAGAAAGUAAUUUCCUGAUUGUUAUUAAUUCCAGCUGUUUUUAACAA